rnacentral:sRNA from 1 species
GCCAGGCACAGUGGUGCAUGCCUGUAAUCCCAGUGGCUCUGGAGGCUGAGUCAGGAGGAUCUCAAGUUCAAAAUCCAGCCCCAGCAAGAAUGAGGCACUUAGCAACCCAGUGAGACCGUGUCUCUA